AACGAACGCUGGCGGCAGGCUUAACACAUGCAAGUCGAGCGCAUCCUUCGGGGUGAGCGGCGGACGGGUGAGUAACGCGUGGGAACGUGCCCUCUUCUACGGAAUAGCCUCGGGAAACUGAGAGUAAUGCCGUAUACGCCCGCAAGGGGAAAGAUUUAUCGGAGGAGGAUCGGCCCGCGUUGGAUUAGGUAGUUGGUGGAGUAACGGCCUACCAAGCCGACGAUCCAUAGCUGGUUUGAGAGGAUGAUCAGCCACACUGGGACUGAGACACGGCCCAGACUCCUACGGGAGGCAGCAGUAGGGAAUCUUGGACAAUGGGGGCAACCCUGAUCCAGCCAUGCCGCGUGAUCGAUGAAGGCCUUAGGGUUGUAAAGAUCUUUCAGCUGGGAAGAUAAUGACGGUACCAGCAGAAGAAGCCCCGGCUAACUCCGUG
rnacentral:rRNA from 1 species